rnacentral:rRNA from 1 species
CCUACGGGUGGCAGCAGUGGGGAAUAUUGCACAAUGGGGGAAACCCUGAUGCAGCGACGCCGCGUGAGUGAAGAAGUAAUUCGUUAUGUAAAGCUCUAUCAGCAGGGAAGAAAAUGACGGUACCUGAGUAAGAAGCCCCUGAUAACUACGUGCCAGCAGCCACGGUAAUACGGAGGGGGCAAGCGUUCGCCGGAUUUACUGGGUGUAAAGGUAGCGUAGAUGGCAGGGCAAGUCUGGGGUGAAAGGCGGGCGCUCAACCCGGGGACUGCUCUGGAAACUGUACGGCUGGAGUGCAGGAGAGGUUAGUGGAAUUCCAGGUGUAGCGGUGAAAUCCGUAGAUAUUAGGAGGAACACCAGUGGCGAAGGCGACUUACUGG